UAUCUCUGUAGAGUCUGCAUAUCAAUAAGCGGAGGAAAAGAAACUAACAUAGGAUUCCCUCAGUAACGGCGAGUGAAGCGGGAAGAGCUCAAAUUUGAAAUCUUCAAGGGUUCUACCUUUACGAAUUGUAGUUUAAAGAAGUGUUUUCUGUUGAGGUUUUGGUAAAAGUUCUUUGGAAUAGGACAUCAUAGAGGGUGAGAAUCCCGUAUUUGACCAUUACUUUCCAACUUUGUGAUACACUUUCAAAGAGUCGGAUUGUUUGGGAAUGCAGUCCAAAAUGGGUGGUAAAUUUCAUCUAAAGCUAAAUACUGGCGAGAGACCGAUAGCGAACAAGUACCGUGAGGGAAAGAUGAAAAGAACUUUGAAAAGAGAGUUAAACAGUACGUGAAAUUGUCAAAAGGGAAGCGUUUGACACCAGUGUUGUUUUCUCGAAAAUCAAUUAAAAAAGGCAGGAUUUUGUGUUGUAUUGACUUUAUCAGCUUUCUGCACUCUUUUCUUGUCUUUUUUAAUGCACUUUUCGUUUAACAAGUCAACAUCAAUUUCUUUUGUUGUAAAAGGGUCAUUGGAAGGUGGCUUUCUUUUCGGAGAAAGUGUUUAUAGCCUUUGGCCUCUGCAAUCGGAGAGAUUGAGGUCUGCAGCGUAGAUCCUUCGGGGUUAGAUACAUUUGUGCUAAGUUAUAGCCUUUCAUAGACAACUUGUUGACUAUGAUCAGUCAUGUAGCUUACUCGCUUAUGCUAUUUUACCUACGCUUAGGAUGUUGACGAUCAGCUGAGCGCG
rnacentral:rRNA from 1 species